CUACUUAAUUUCUUCAUUUGGUAUUUUGGUUAAUUAUUAUUAUUUACAUAACUCAUAUUUAGAUAUGGCAUCUUUUGAUGAGAGUCAUUUUGGUAUUCCCUCAGUUUCUGAGGGAGAAGAAACUACUGUUCCUACUCCCUCUAAAACCAAUAUUAAAGGUCAAAGCUCUGCCUCUUCUUCCCAUAAGAGUACUAGUACUGCAUGG
rnacentral:lncRNA from 1 species